AUGGACUCAGAUGACGAGGAAGUGCUCGCCGCGCCGCUGGAGGAGGAAGCCGAGACCGACGUCCAGGAAGAAGAGCAUCUCAUGGUGCUCGCCGCCCUCGCCCAGCUGCUGGCGAGCAAUGAAAAGCCGCGACGAGGUGGCUCGGCGCCGGGGCGGGUGAAAGCAAAGAACCGGCAUCGUCUCGAAGGCUACUGCAUGCUCUACUCCAACUACUUCGCCGAUGCUCCACUUCACGCCGACAGAACAUUUUGGCGUCGUUAUCGGAUGAGCAGAAAGCUUUUCAUUCGGAUUGUGAAUUCCAUCCGGGAGUUUGACAACUACUUCAAAUGCAAGAUGGAUUGCACCGUACAGUUGAAUUCACCUCCAUCCAGAAAUGCACGACAACAAUGA
rnacentral:rRNA from 1 species